rnacentral:rRNA from 1 species
AUACGGAGGAUCCGAGCGUUAUCCGGAUUUAUUGGGUUUAAAGGGUGCGCAGGCGGCCAUUUAAGUCAGCGGUUAAAUCGUGGGGCUCAACCCCAUUCUGCCGUUGAUACUGGGUGGCUUGAUUGCGGUCGAGGUUGGCGGAAUUCGUUGUGUAGCGGUGAAAUGCAUAGAUAUGACGAAGAACACCGACUGCGUAGGCAGCUGACCAGACCGCAAAUGACGCUCAUGCACGAAAGUGCGGGGAUCGAACAGGAUUAGAUACCCUUGUAGUCCGCACAGUAAACGAUGAAUACUUGUUUUCGGCGAUAUAAUGUCGGAGGCAAAGCGAAAGCGAUAAGUAUUCCACCUGGGGAGUACGCCGGCAACGGUGAAACUCAAAGGAAUUGACGGGG